rfam:Hordeum vulgare subsp. vulgare, WGS project CAJW01000000 data, contig: morex_contig_1570610
CUACUACUCCCUCGUCCCAAAAUUCUUGUCUUUGAUUUGUCCAGAUAUGAAUGUAUCUUAUCAUGUAUUAGUUUUUAGAUACAUCCAUUUCUAGAUAAAACUAAGACAAAUUUUUUGGAACGGAGGGAGUAUAUU